ACGAUCCAGUUACAAAGCAGCAAAAUGCGGCGCUCAAUGAACGACGGUAGUGCGGUAAAAUCAUGCAUAGCCUGUUACGCGGUAAGGUGCUUUUUGAAGCGUUUGUUUUAGAUUUCUGCUCUGAUUUUAUAGUUAGUAACAAAGAUCAACCUAAAUCUGGAUUAUAUUAAUGGUGGUAAAUUUUGGAUCGUCAAAUACGGUUAGUGUGGAGUAGGACAUGUCCGUCGCGGAGUCGUAGGUUGGUCGUAGGUUCAAG